ACGGGAGGCAGCAGUGGGGAAUAUUGCACAAUGGGGGAAACCCUGAUGUAGCGACGCCGCGUGAGCGAUGAAGUAUUUCGGUAUGUAAAGCUCUAUCAGCAGGGAAGAUAAUGACGGUACCUGACUAAGAAGCCCCGGCUAACUACGUGCCAGCAGCCGCGGUAAUACGUAGGGGGCAAGCGUUAUCCGGAUUUACUGGGUGUAAAGGGAGCGCAGGCGGUUUUUAAGUCUGAUGUGAAAGCCCGCGGCUCAACGGCGGGACUGCAUUGGAAACUGGAGAACUAGAGUGUCGGAGGGGCAAGUGGAAUUCCUAGUGUAGCGGUGAAAUGCGUAGAUAUUAGGAGGAACACCAGUGGCGAAGGCGGCUCGCUGGACGAUAACUGACGCUGAGGCUCGAAAGCGUGGGGAGCAAACAGGAUUAGAUACCCUGGUA
rnacentral:rRNA from 1 species